GGGAGGGCAUGUUCUCAGCAGGAUGUACCGACCAGCGCAGUGAGGCCAGAGAGCCAACACUACUUUUUCCAGACCUGCUGGCACCUGGUGAAAUGGCCUUUUCUAGCAGAGACAGAACAUUUCUUCCUCUGGAGCCACAGAUGAAACUCGUCUGAGGAAGCAUAUCAACACUUACAGAACCAGUAUUUGUAAUUUCAGCGCAAAGGAUCUCACAAAGAUCUCAAACCCAUAUAAUGCAGGCUUGGGAAAGAAUCACUGCACUUAAGGAGAGAGGAAUCUGCAAAAGGAGAAGCAGGUGCCUUGCUGGAGGCCAGGAAACUACAGGGGAGAAAACAGGCUGACACAACCACAUUACCGAGUUGGAAGAGAAC